AGCGAACGCUGGCGGCAGGCUUAACACAUGCAAGUCGAGCGGGCGUAGCAAUACGUCAGCGGCAGACGGGUGAGUAACGCGUGGGAACAUACCUUUUGGUUCGGAACAACACAGGGAAACUUGUGCUAAUACCGGAUAAGCCCUUACGGGGAAAGAUUUAUCGCCGAAAGAUUGGCCCGCGUCUGAUUAGCUAGUUGGUGAGGUAACGGCUCACCAAGGCGACGAUCAGUAGCUGGCUGAGAGGAUGAUCAGCCACAUUGGGACUGAGACACGGCCCAAACUCCUACGGGAGGCAGCAGUGGGGAAUAUUGGACAAUGGGCGCAAGCCUGAUCCAGCCAUGCCGCGUGAGUGAUGAAGGCCCUAGGGUUGUAAAGCUCUUUUGUGCGGGAAGAUAAUGACGGUACCGCAAGAAUAAGCCCCGGCUAACUUCGUGCCAGCCGCCGCGGU
rnacentral:rRNA from 1 species